UACGAAGGGGGCGAGCGUUGUUCGGAAUUACUGGGCGUAAAGGGCGCGCAGGCGGCCUUCGAAGUCAGAUGUGAAAGCCCCGGGCUCAACCUGGGAAUGGCAUUUGAUACUCUGAGGCUGGAGUACGGGAGAGGAGAGUGGAAUUCCCAGUGUAGAGGUGAAAUUCGUAGAUAUUGGGAAGAACACCGGUGGCGAAGGCGGCUCUCUGGACCGUAACUGACGCUGAGGCGCGAAAGCGUGGGGAGCAAACAGG
rnacentral:rRNA from 1 species